CUGCAGGGAAAUAAAUCGGCUGGCCCUACUGCAAUCUACUGCACUCGAGUGACAAGUGAGCCUGCUUCUGUCAAUUACUGAAGCUAUAAGGAGAUUUUUUAAAAAUUAAACUUCAACACAAUGAGAUUUGUGAAAAAAGUAACAGGAAUUAAGAAGAACCUCGUAAGAAUAGAAGAGCUACUUAGGAAAAAGGGAGGGGAAAUCAUUUUGGAAGGAGAGCAUAGAAUUGGUAGAAAAUGAGAAAAGCUGUAUGGCAUUUCUAAAACAACAAUGAAAAGAAUGACUUUCCUGAAUGUGGGUAAAAACCUUACAUCAAAAACUCUUCCCCGAAUCUUGUAUAGCACCUGGAAAAGACUUGUGAAGAAAAAUGACCUUUCAUGUACCAUUUCUGGCAUUUUGUAUUUUGCAAUGCAAUAAAUUCUAGUUUAUGCUGCUUAUAA
rnacentral:lncRNA from 1 species